rnacentral:rRNA from 1 species
UACGGAGGGAGCUAGCGUUGUUCGGAAUUACUGGGCGUAAAGCGCACGUAGGCGGCUUUGUAAGUUAGAGGUGAAAGCCCGGGGCUCAACCCCGGAAUUGCCUUUAAGACUGCAUCGCUUGAAUCCGGGAGAGGUGAGUGGAAUUCCGAGUGUAGAGGUGAAAUCCGUAGAUAUUCGGAAGAACACCAGUGGCGAAGGCGGCUCACUGGACCGGUAUUGACGCUGAGGUGCGAAAGCGUGGGGAGCAAACAGG